ACGGGUUAGUAACGCGUGGGAACAUACCCUUUGGUACGGAAUAGCCUCUGGAAACGGAGAGUAAUACCGUAUGAGCCCUUCGGGGGAAAGAUUUAUCGCCAAAGGAUUGGCCCGCGUUAGAUUAGGUAGUUGGUGGGGUAAUGGCCUACCAAGCCUACGAUCUAUAGCUGGUUUUAGAGGAUGAUCAGCAACACUGGGACUGAGACACGGCCCAGACUCCUACGGGAGGCAGCAGUGGGGAAUCUUGGACAAUGGGGGCAACCCUGAUCCAGCCAUGCCGCGUGAGUGAUGAAGGCCUUAGGGUCGUAAAGCUCUUUCGCCUGUGAAGAUAAUGACGGUAGCAGGUAAAGAAACCCCGGCUAACUCCGUGCCAGCAGCCGCGGUAAUACGGAGGGGGUUAGCGUUGUUCGGAAUUACUGGGCGUAAAGCGCACGUAGGCGGACUGGAAAGUUGGGGGUGAAAUCCCAGGGCUCAACCCUGGAACUGCCUCCAAAACUAUCAGUCUAGAGUUCGAGAGAGGUGAGUGGAAUUCCGAGUGUAGAGGUGAAAUUCGUAGAUAUUCGGAGGAACACCAGUGGCGAAGGCGGCUCACUGGCUCGAUACUGACGCUGAGUGCGAAAGUGUGGGGAGCAAACAGGAUUAGAUACCCUGGUAGUCCACACCGUAACGAUGAAUGCCAGUUCGUCGGGUAACAUGCUAUUCGUGACCACCUAACGGAUAA
rnacentral:rRNA from 1 species